GAUGAACGCUGGCGGCGUGCCUAAUACAUGCAAGUCGAGCGAACAGAUGAGGAGCUUGCUCCUCUGACGUUAGCGGCGGACGGGUGAGUAACACGUGGAUAACCUACCUAUAAGACUGGGAUAACUUCGGGAAACCGGAGCUAAUACCGGAUAAUAUAUUGAACCGCAUGGUUCAAUAGUGAAAGACGGUUUUGCUGUCACUUAUAGAUGGAUCCGCGCCGCAUUAGCUAGUUGGUAAGGUAACGGCUUACCAAGGCAACGAUGCGUAGCCGACCUGAGAGGGUGAUCGGCCACACUGGAACUGAGGCACGGUCCAGACUCCUACGGGAGGCAGCAGUAGGGAAUCUUCCGCAAUGGGCGAAAGCCUGACGGAGCAACGCCGCGUGAGUGAUGAAAGUCUUCGGAUCGUAAAACUCUGUUAUUAGGGAAGAACAAAUGUGUAAGUAACUAUGCACGUCUUGACGGUACCUAAUCAGAAAGCCACGGCUAACUACGUG
rnacentral:rRNA from 1 species